rnacentral:rRNA from 1 species
UACGGGGGGGGCAAGCGUUGUUCGGAAUUACUGGGCGUAAAGGGCUCGUAGGCGGCCAACUAAGUCGGAUGUGAAAUCCCCCAGCUUAACCUGGGAACUGCAUCCGAUACUGGAUGGCUUGAAUCCGGGAGAGGGAUGCAGAAUUCCAGGUGUAGCGGUGAAAUGCGUAGAUAUCUGGAGGAACACCGGUGGCGAAGGCGGCAUCCUGGACCAAUAUUGACGCUGAGGAGCGAAAGCUAGGGGAGCAAACGGG